rnacentral:rRNA from 1 species
CACGCAGUAAACGAUGAAUACUAACUGUAUGCGAUAUACUGUAUGCGGUACAGCGAAAGCGUUAAGUAUUCCACCUGGGGAGUACGUUCGCAAGAAUGAAACUCAAAGGAAUUGACGGGGGCCCGCACAAGCGGAGGAACAUGUGGUUUAAUUCGAUGAUACGCGAGGAACCUUACCCGGGCUUGAAAUGCAGAAGACCGAUCGGGAAACCGAUUUUCCAGCAAUGGCUUCUGUGUAGGUGC